UACGUAGGGUGCAAGCGUUGUCCGGAAUUAUUGGGCGUAAAGAGCUCGUAGGCGGUUUGUCGCGUCUGCCGUGAAAGUCCGGGCUCAACUCCGGAUCUGCGGUGGGUACGGGCAGACUAGAGUGAUGUAGGGGAGACUGGAAUUCCUGGUGUAGCGGUGAAAUGCGCAGAUAUCAGGAGGAACACCGGUGGCGAAGGCGGUUCUCUGGGCCUUACCUGACGCUGAGGAGCGAAAGCGUGGGGAGCGAACAGG
rnacentral:rRNA from 1 species